GGCUGUGUGGCUCAGUUGGUUGGAGCAUUAACCCACAAAAUAAAGGCUGUGGGUUUGAUUCCCAGUCAUAAUUG
rnacentral:tRNA from 1 species